rnacentral:lncRNA from 1 species
AAAUAAGAAUAAGAAUAAUAAUAAUAAUAAUAAUAAUAAUAAUAAUAAUAAUAAUAAUAAUAAGAAGAAGAAGAAGAAGAAGAAGAAGAAGAAGAAGAAGAUGAGAAGAAGAAAAGAAGAAGAAGGAGAAGAAGAAUAAGAGGAAAAAAGAAAAAAGAAAAGAAGAAGAAGAAGAAGAAGAAGAAGAAGAAGAAGAAGAAGAAGA